rnacentral:rRNA from 1 species
UACGUAGGGGGCAAGCGUUGUCCGGAAUCAUUGGGCGUAAAGCGCGUGUAGGCGGCCCGGUAAGUCCGCUGUGAAAGUCGGGGGCUCAACCCUCGAAUGCCGGUGGAUACUGUCGGGCUAGAGUGCGGGAGAGGCGAGUGGAAUUCCUGGUGUAGCGGUGAAAUGCGCAGAUAUCGAGAGGAACACCUGCGGCGAAGGCGGGUAGCUGGGCCGACACUGACGCUGAGGCGCGAAAGCCAGGGGAGCGAACGGG